rnacentral:rRNA from 1 species
UACGAAGGGGGCUAGCGUUGCUCGGAAUCACUGGGCGUAAAGCGCACGUAGGCGGGGCUUUAAGUCAGGGGUGAAAUCCUGGAGCUCAACUCCAGAACUGCCUUUGAUACUGAGGAUCUCGAGUCCGGGAGAGGUGAGUGGAACUCCGAGUGUAGAGGUGAAAUUCGUAGAUAUUCGGAGGAACACCAGUGGCGAAGGCGGCUCACUGGUCCAUUACUGACGCUGAGGUGCGAAAGCGUGGGGAGCAAACAGG